CUUUAAGUUGCCUAAUCUACAAUUCUAAGGAGAAAUUGAGUCCACCUACCAUAUUCAUUUUGAACUCUUUUUCCAUUUCCUCAGCAAAAUUAAGGGUAAAGUCACUUGAGUGGGGUCCAAAAACUAUAUUAUCAACAUAAAUAUGAGUUAUUAAUAGUUUGACUUAGACCUAUGAAUGAAAAGAGUUCUAUCAACUCCCCAUCUCUCAAAACCUUUUUUCAAAAGGUAAGUUGUAAGCCUCUCAUACCAAGCCUCUCAUAUUUACAAAAGAAUGAUUCCAAUGAUUUUAGUUAAUUUGAUCAUUAAGAAAAACGAGUUCAGUUUUAUUAUUAAGAAAAAUGAUUUUAGUUUUAUUAUUAUUAUUAAAAAAAUCAUCUCAAUAUUCCUUAAAAAAUGUUUCAGCUUACAUUAAAAAAAGAGUUCAAUUAAAGAAAAAACAAAAAAAAUGAUUUCAAAUUUUAUUUUAUUUACAAGUUUGCUGAUUAAAAUAAUAUAUAAAAAAGAUGAUUGAUAAAAUCAAACUGGUACGUAAUAGAAAUAAACAUAUAAUAAUAAUAAUAAUAAUAAUAAUAAUAAUAAUAUGAUGAUGAUGAUGAAUCAAUGGAGUUAAAUAAAUCAAUGUGGCCAAUCCAAAGCAAGAAAACAAGUAACUAUACGCUAACCCAUAAUCCAAACGAAGGUCAAAUACAACAAAGACCAAUUUACGAGUGAAUGCCAUGUGGUCGGUAGCUUAUCUCCGAUUAGAACAAAAGAUGGAGACAUGGAUAUGCACCAUUUCCGUUUGGCGUCGGUUUGGCUUCAAAGGGUGCUUCCUGUGCACCUGAACUAGCUUAUCUACGAUUAGAACCAAAAGGUGAUGGAGACAUGGCUGCACCAUUUCCGUUGGCAUCGGUUUGACUUCAAAGGGCGUUUCUUGUGUACUUGAAGAUGGAAAAUAUAAAUUUAUUAGAAACUUACUUUUCAUCAACAGUGUUUCGUCUUGAGGUCCACCUUUUCAAUUCUACUUCAUAAUGCUUGGUUGGUGCUAGUGAGAAAAUUUGGACUCAAACUGAACUAGGCACAUCCCCCUAAGUCCAAAGGGUGGUUCAGUUCAUACAAGAAAAUAAUUUUUACAACUCUUAUUUGAAAAUUUAUUUUUACAAUUUGAAAAUUUAUUUAUGUAAUACAAAUAAACAUAAAAUAAUAAUAAUAAUAAUAAUAAUAUGACAAAUCUAUAGUUGAUGGCCUAUUUGAAAUAAGGAUGAAAAUAUCGGUAAUCAUGGAUAUAUCGGUAACUUGAUUUUAUGGAUAUAUUGGAUAUAUCGGAGAAAUAUCGAUGAAUAUUUUGAAAAAAAAUUUUUGUAAGCAAAAAAUUGAUCAAAACUCAUGGAAAUGUAAAAAAAAACCUUGUAUUAAUAUAAUUAAAAGUAUAAUAGACAAUUUAAAGUUGUUUUGGUGAAGAAUUUGAUAUAUAUAGAUAUAUAUAAUAUGAUUUGCGAUAUUAUACAUAAUUAUAUUAUAUCAGUUGUACUUAUACACUCAUUAUGAAGUUUCAUAAAAAACUUAUUUUAGUAAAUAUCAAUAAUUUAUACAUAUUAUUAUAUAGCUUGAGGUUCAAUUCUGACCAUUGGAUCACAUCCAGUUUUAAUUUGAACCAUAGAUACACAAGGAUCAAAAUUGAAAUAUCAAUAAAAUAUUUUAUUUGAGAUUUAAUUUCUAAAAUUUUAUUAAAAAUACGUGAUAAUAACUUUUUUUUUAUUAAUAUUAAUUUAUUUAAAUAAUUAAAAUUAUUAAUAAUUUAUCUUAUUAAAUUAAUUUUUAAUUUAUAAAAUAUAUCGAUAAAAAAUGGAAAUUUUAAUCCAUGGUUGUGAUUUAAUAAAAAUAAAGAUGAAUAAUUAAUAAUUAUUUAUAUAGAGAGUGGAAAAUUGUUCUCAUGAUAUGUUUCUUCUUCUUUUUUAAUCCCUACUAAAUCUAAAAAUAAAAUGGGCCACCCACUUCUCUCACUCGGCAUCAAGAAGCCCUUUUUCUGGAGUUGCCCUCCAAACGAGAGAAUCCCUAAUAAGGCCCUAUUUUCCGCCGCCACUCUCAAUCCUCCCAGGUACUAAUCUAAUCUUGUUAUUUAUUUUUAUUUUUCUGCAACCCCGUUUGAUUCCCAAGAAAAUCCAUCCCCCAUUCGUUUUCCGGGAAAGUUCAUCCUCGUUUGAUUUCCGAGCAAAUCCAUGCAAAACCCCCAAGGAAAACCAGAAAGAUUGCUUUUUUUUUUUUGCUUCCUGUGUUUUCUGGAUCUGUUCUAGUGGUCGCUUUGCUUUUGUGCCAUUGGAUUUAAAUUUCACGAACCCUAAAUCCACGAUUUUUGAGCCAGGUUAAAAAACACAACCUUUGCCUGCAAAUCAUGAUUAGAUUUUGUAUCUUGUGCGCGGGCUGGACUGGUAGGAAAUAUCGGGAAAUUUCCCGAAAAAUCUGAAAUAAAAUCGGCGAUACAAACCGAAAAUUCGCCGAUAAAUUGCAGUAUCCGACGAUUUUUGGAAGAUUUUGCCGAUUUUUCGCCUGCAUCCAUUUUUCGGCGGUUUUUUCGCCGACUUUAACCGAAAUUUGGCGAAAUUUCUCCCAUCGACAUUUCGCCCCCCUCUUUCGUAUCGCCGGCCACCGAAACCCAAAAUUUUGGCGAAAAAAGUGGAAACUUUCAUCCUUGAUUUGGAAAAGGUGCUUGAUGGAGGAAUGCACCAUCGUCUUCCGUUGCCGCAUGCCCAUUUCCGUUUGGCAUUUUGAAACUUUAUGUUUCGACAGCUCAAACGGAACUAAAGGCAGAUCCCCUCAAGUCCGAUGGUGGAAAAGGUGCUUGAUGGAGGGAUGCACUACCGUUUUCCGUUUGUCAUUCGGCCGCAUGCCCAUUUCCGUUUGGCAUUUGGCUUCAAACAAACUGAGCUUAUUUUUCGUCAACUCAAACGGGAACUAAAGGCAGAUCCCCUCAAGUCCGAUGGGGUGGUUCAGUUUGUCUCACUGCUAUAAAUAAUACACCACCUGAAGCUUAGCCAUUCACAAUAUUAUUUCUUCAAGCUCAGUCAUUGUAAUGUUUCUUUAUUUAUUUGUUUGUUUUCUUGUUGUAUAUUUCAUGGAAGCAGCUUUAUUGGGUUUCUUCCUUCUUUGCAGGGAAAUUCAUAAUGGCAAGAACACAGCAGAAGAAAUCGCUAUGGACCCCAGAAGAAGACGAUAAGCUCAAAGAAUUUAGGCACAAAUACCCCAAUCUAUCUUGGCCAGCUAUCGCAAAGCAGGCAGAGCUGAACAGGACUGGUAAGAGUUGUUGGGAGAGUUGGGAGAACAAUCUGAAUCCUGAUAUCAACAAAGGGGAAUUCUCCCCACAGGAAGAUGAACUCAUCAUCCCGCUAAAGAGCGCCGGUGUGAGGUAAUGAGAAUCAUCCUCAUAUUUUUCCAUUAUCAUAUGAUAUGAUAUAAUAGUGUGGUGAUCAGCUUGAGUCUGAGGUGGAGUUCCUGUGUUGUGUUGCUUGCAGCUGGGCAUCUAUGGCAAAAAAUGAUCUUCGUGGGCGAGCUCCUAAUGCUAUCAAGAACCGGUGGAACAACCACUUAAAGAAGAGGCAUGCGAUUAUAAGUGACCUUAGGCGACACCUCCUCUACCUAGAGGAACACCUCAUGGAUGAUAAGGCUAGUGAUUACUCUGUCCGGGGAGGUGACCUUAAGGCUUUGAUGGCUGAGUUUGCUUCUUUGAUUCCCAACGUUGAUCCAAAUGAGACUAGUGAUCACUCUAUCCGGGGAGAUGACCUUGAGGCUUUGAUGGCCAAGUUUGCUUCUUUGAUUCCCAAUGUUGACCCAAAUGAGAGUAGUGAUCACUCUAUCCGGGAAGAUGACCUUGAGGCUUUGAUGGCCAAGUUUGCUUCUUUGAUUCCCAACGUUGAUGCAAAUGAGACUAGUGAUCGCUCUAUCCGGGGAGAUGACCUUGAGGCUUUGAUGGCCAAGUUUGCUUCUUUGAUUCCCAAUGUUGACCCAAAUGAAAGUAGUGAUCACUCUAUCCGGGAAGAUGACCUUGAGGCUUUGAUGGCCAAGUUUGCUUCUUUGAUUCCCAACGUUGAUCCAAAUGAGACUAGUGAUCACUCUAUCCGGGGAGAUGACCUUGAGGCUUUGAUGGCCAAGUUUGCUUCUUUGAUUCCCAACGUUGAUCCAAAUGAGACUAGUGAUCACUCUAUCCGGGGAGAUGACCUUGAGGCUUUGAUGGCCAAGUUUGCUUCUUUGAUUCCCAACGUUGAUCCAAGUGCAAUUAGUUCGAUUCCUGAAUACACCAGCUGAAGAAAUCGCCAAGUUAAAGUGUAAUGAGAGUCCAAAGUACUAUGUCUUUGAGUGUCCUAUAUAUGUAUAUAUAUGUUUGCUGCUAAAUCAAGCAUCAUCUUCACGAUGCAGCAUAUAAUAAAGCUGUGUGUAUUGUAUUAAACUGAUGGUUUUGUACGUUGAUUUCUGAGUAUUGAGCACUGUUCUCAUAUGCUAAUACUAAAUCCCUCUCAUCAUCAUCUACUGCAUCAACUCUAUACUCCAAUCUUCUUACCUUAACUAUUAAUUAACUCCACCAUUUCAAUGGGUUUAUGUGUGAAAAUCAAAAUUUAACUAAUAUUAUUCUUCCAUGCAGCAUGCUUGAAAAUUAUUUAUUUUUGAAUUCCCAUAUUAUAUUAUGCAGCUCAUAACCACUUCCAAGAUUAAGUCCUAAGCCAAGAGUAAUGAUUUGAAUUAAUUGAAAAUUUAUUGAAAUAAGGAAAAAAAAAAAAAAAACAGGAGCAAGAGGAUGAAUGGAGAGUUUUUAUUUUAAAUAUCUAAUUAAAAUGCUUUCGUAUUUAUAAAUUGAUUAUAUCAAUACAUAGUAUAAUAGAGAUUGAAUUUUUCUCAUAUAAAAGGGUUGAAUGAUAUAUUUACUCAUUUUAAAUGAAAACAAGUAGUUAAAAAUUAUAUAAAUUAUGUUUGAGUUUGGUUUUAAAAUAUUUUUCUAGUUUUUAUUUAAAAAAUAUUUUUUAUUUUCUAUAUUGUCUCUUCUUGAAAAUACGUUUAAUUAAAAAAUGAAAAUUAUUUUUAAAAAUGAAAAUUGAAAACCUUGUUUAAUACUAUUUUUUAUAUGAAAAUAAUAAAAAGAAUCAAAUUUCAUUUAUUAAUUAUUCUUUUUUAUUUUUUUAUAUUAGUUAUUUUAAUAAUAUAAUAAAAAAACAUAAUAUGUUCACAAUUAAAUAAAGGAAUCGGUCAAUUAUAUAUUAUAUUUUUCACAAAAAUAUAAUAUUUUCAUAAAAAAAAUUAGAUUUAAGUUUUUCGUUUUUUUUAUUAAUCAAACUAUUGAAGUCAUGUUUAAUUUCCGUCACUGCACAAGGGUAUUCACUAAUUGUACAAAUGAUAUAUUACGCCAUUGUACAAGGGUAUUCACUAACUUAAUAAAAAAAAAUUUAGCCAUAGUUUAUCCACCAUUUUCUCAGCCAAACCAUUAGAAAUAUGAUUAAAAUGUCUACGUAGACAUAUAACUUAAGAGGUAUAUACUGCGUCAUUAUACAAUGGUUUUAUAUUAAUUGUACAAGGGAAAUGUACUAAGUACAAGGAAAAUGUACUAAGUAUACAAGGGAAAUGUACUAAGUGUACAAGGUUACCAUUUGUGAAAGAUUUUAAUCGAUUUUGAAUCACUUAUUUAUUUUCGUUGUCACCUAUAGAUUGUAUAUAAAAUUUGCACUAUUGUACAAGGGUGUUAAACUCACUAUACAAAGCAAAUGUAUUAACUAUAUAAGACAAAUGUACUAACUGUGUAAGAGGUGUAUAAGACUACCUUUAUGCAAGAUUUCAAUAAAUUCUAAACCAUUAUUUUUUUCUUGUCACCUAAGGAUUUGACACUUUCCCCCCACACAUUCCUUUGCCUAAAAAUUGUUUCAAUUUAAAAUUUUAAAUUUCAUCAUCCAAAAUUUGUAAUUGCAUAUUUCGUUUGAAUAGUUUUUACAAUAUUAAAAAAAAAAAAACAUUUACAUCUCAUAUAAAGGAAAAUUAACCACAAUAUUUAGGUACUAGCUUUUUUGUAAAACCAAAUUAAUAUAAAUGGAUUACACAUUAGUGUCAUUGUUUCAAAUGACUUAAGACAAUAUAAACAACAUAUAAUAAUUGUUUAGGAAAAAUUAUCAAUAUUUUUUACCAAACUAUACCAUUUAGAUCUUUCCUACCAAAUUAAAACAUAGGAAAUAAAAUUAAAAUUAAUCAUAUUUAAAGUGUUUAUUACAAGUAAACCGAAUGAAAUAUAUAUUUUUACUAUUUUACCCUUAUAAACAUAAUAUCAGUAAAAAUUAAAAAAAUUAUAUUUAAAUAGAAUUAAAAAUGAUAAAAAAUUAUCUUUGUAACAUUUGUAAUUUUUUUUAAAUGAUUAAUUUAAAUUAUCUAGUUAAUUUAAUUUUUUUUUUUGUAAUUAUAGUUUUGAAGAUUCUAUGAUUUUUAUAUUAUUACUUUUAAUUUAUUUUCUUUGAUCCUUUAUCUUAAAUUUCAUCUAAACUUGUUUUUUUCUCACAUUUUCGUGUUUUCUAUUAUAUCCCUAUUUAAGGUGAUAUUCAUCUAAUUUGUGCUCCAUUAUAUUCCUUUUUUUUUGUAAUGUGUUUUUAUACCUCUUUGCAUAACAAAAGAUUUUGUCAUUUUUCAUCUACAAAACUUUAUUCAAAAGAUAUCAUAUAUGAGGAAAAAAAAGAGAGAAAAUUAUGAUAUAAUUAUAUGCACAUCUCUUAAUAUGAUACAUUUGCUUUACUUGAUGGUAUCGUGUUUUAAUAAUUUAAACCAUGUCAAGUCCACCUCUAUUUCAGAUUUAAAAGGGUAUUUUAAUAUUUUUCAAAUUACUAAAUUAUAAUACAUUAUUCAAUUAAAAAUUAAUUAUCACUAUUAGUUAAAAGAUGGUCGUGUUACAAAAUAAUAUAUUAAGACAAUGUCUAUGUAUUGUCCAUAAAAUAGAGAAAAUAUUCAAAUAAUUGUCUAUAACAUUAAAGAUAUUUAUAAUAUAUAUUAGAUAAAAAAGAAUAAUAAUAUUUUUUAAGGUGUUUAAAAAAUAUUUAUUAUAUAUUUUGUAAGUUUUUUUUUUAAAAUAUUUUAUGAGGUGUUUAAAAAAUAUUUACUUAAAAAAUGUAGUAAUAAUCAAUUUUAACCAUUGAUUUUCAAUAUUCAAUUUAUUAGGCAUGGUUUUUGGGAGAAAAAUAAUUGGUGGAAAUAGUGACACCUCUCUUGCCAAGAAUUAGUUUACAUGAUCCCAUCACUUGCUAUAUGAGAGAAAGGUAAAGUGGAUGAAGAGAGAAAGAGAAAGGGAAAGAGAGAAUGAGAGAAAAGUGGGAAACCCAUUAUUAUUAUUAUUAUUAUUAUUAUUAUUAUUUGACAGCCAAUGGCAUUUUAGGAAAUUUUAAAAGACAAUGUUCUUCAACUCAAUUUUUACUAUUCCAUUAGGUCUUGAGCUCACUUAAUAUAAGGGUUAUGAGGAUCUUGGCCAAUUUUCAAGCCCAAGUGGGUGUAAAACACAAUUCUCCCAUAAUAUUAUUCUACGGGAUAUCGUUUUGAUUGGAAUUUGACCCUACUUUUGUCUUCUUCCUAUCUUGAUUGUCCUCAAUUGGUCAAAUAUGUUCUUGAAGAAGAAAGCAAGAAAGAGAUAAUAGAAUGCACGGGAAAACUCAAUAGAAUUUCAUUAGGGAUCUUUCCAUUUUAUAGGGAGUUACAAAAUAUAUUUAUAGAUGAUCAUCCACAAGUUAUCAUAGUGGUACAAAAUAUAUUUAUAGAUGAUCAUCCACAAGUUAUCAUAGUGGUACAAAAUCUCAUAUUUUAUAACACUCCCCCUUAGAUGAUCAUAAGAAUAUGCUCCAUUAAAACCUUACUAGGAAAACCCUAUGAGAAAAACCCUAGUGAAGGAAAAGAGUACAAUAUUCUUUUGGAUUACUACAUCUGUCUCAUUAAAAACCUUGCUAGUAAAACCCAGUGGGACAAAACUUGGAUGAAAAGAAAAAGUGUACAAUGUAGUGAUAUUCUUAUCAAUUAGCUCCCCCUCAUGUUGACAUGAUUAUUUUUUCUCUAGUAGCACAACAUCGAGAUAUUUGAAUUGAAAUAUUCCAAUAAGUUUCUUGAGUAUUGCAUUUGACAAUGCCUUCGUGAACAAAUCUACUAAAUUGUCACUUGAUCUUAUUGGUCAAAUAAUAAUUUGAUCACUCUUCUGGAGUUAAUAAAAGUAAAAGACUUGACCGAUAUAUGCUUAAUUCUAUCACCCUUAAUGUAUCAUUUUUUAAUCUAUGCAAUGCAUGCAACAUUAUUAACUUGGUAGCAUUACCUCUGAUGGAAGGUAGUCCACAUGUUUCCAUUAUUUACUUGAUUGAUCUCCAUGAUAUUUUCGUACCACCAUAGAUAAAUACAUACCUUAUUUGAGAUCGAGCUUUGUGGGGUCUAAAAGAUAGUCAACAUCUACAUAUUCAAGUAAUUAAGAUUUUAAUCCUUCGAAAUAACAUAGACCCAUGUUAUUGUAGUACAUGAUUGAUUUUAUUCCAAGUUUCUGAGUUGAUGCAAAACUAUAUCUCACAAGUAAAUUAACAAGGAAUGCAAUAUUUGGUCGUGUAUAAUUUGCAAGAUUCAUCAGUGCACCAAUAACACUAUAAUAUGGUACUUCUGGACCAAGUAGUUCUUCAUUAUCUUCUUUAGGACAAAAGAGGUCAUUUUCCAUUUCAAGUGAAUGAACUAUUAUCAGAGAACUUAAUGGAUGUGAUUUAUCCAUAUGAAAGUGUUUCAAGACUUUCUUUGUAUAUGUUGACUAAUAAACUAAUAUUUCAUUUGAAAAGUACUCGAUUUACAGACCGAGGAAAAAUUUUGUUUUCCAGGAUCUUUCAUUUCAAAUAGUCAACUAUUUUUUUUUUUUAAUUUUUUCAAGAAUUCCAACAAAAUUUAGCUUUCCAUAUAUACUAUAAUAAUUGCAAAUAUUCAACAUAAUGAAUAUGCAUAGACAAAUAAGAUAAUACAAACAUACUUCUCAAUUCAAAUAUUCAUUGAAGUGAUUGUACCACAUGUCUUUGGAUUGCUUAAUCCAUACAAGGAUCGUUGUAGCUUAAUUGAGUAUAUACUACAAUGUUUUGAAUUAGUAGUUUUAGGCAUUUGAAAUCCUUUAGGGAUUUUCAUCUAUAUAUAUAUAUAUGUUAUUAUCUAAAGAUCCAUGUAAAUAUGUAGUAACGACAUCCAAGAGACGCAAAUCUAGUCUUUCUAAGACGGCUAAACAAAUUAGAUAUCUAAAUAUGGUUGCGUCCAUCAUAGGAUAAUAUGUUUCCUCGUAGUCAAUACUAGGUUUCUAUGGGAAAUCUUGAGCUAUGAGUCACAUUUUAUAUCUCAUGAUUUCAUUUGUAUAAAACCUACCAAAUUUGGAUUAGAACAUGGAAGCCAAAUUGACUUGAGGACGUAUAUAGAUGGGGAAGGUUAGGCUUCUCUUAGAUUUAUUGUUCCGGUAAACUUCCCUCGUGCAUUAUAUUCACAAACCUUAAAACAAAUGAUUAUGCCUUCUAUCCCUCCACAGAAUAUAUAUAUAUAUAUAUGAUAUUUGGACAAAAUAAUUAAGAAGUGAAAAAUCAAUUGGAUUGUUAUGAACCCAAAAAUAAAACGAACUCUAAACAUUUUUGGGCCUUAAAAGGUUUGUUCUUCCCCUUCAACAUUUUUAGGAAAGUAGAAGCAAUUUAAACAAUUAGGAAGAAAAAAGUAGGAAUUAAAACUGGGGGUUUGAGGAUUAGGAAGACUAGAGAGGUCUCUUGCAGGCAAACCAAGUCCAUGGAGGUGAGGAUUCAAUAUAACGUAACAUAGUUUGGAAGAAAUAGGGUUUGCUUGGGAAGGUUGUUGAAAAUUAUUCCCAAAAAAAUAAUUUUUGAAAAUAGCUUUAAAUAUAAUAUUUAUUUAAGUUUACCAAAGCAAAAACUUAUUUACAAUUUAAAAUAGUUUCAAAUCAUUUUCUAUGUUUUAAAAAUCAAUUUUAUAUAUAAUUAUUACAAAAUAUGAGGUUUUGUACCACUAUGGUAACUUGUGGAUGAUCAUCCAUAAAUAUCUUUUGUAACUCCCUAUAAAAUGGAAGGAUCCGUAAUGAAAUUCUAUUGAGUUUUCUCGUGCAUUCUAUUAUCUCUUUCUUGAUUUAUUCUUCUCUCACUUCAUUUUACAACACGUUAUCAGUACAAUGCUUUGAGUAUAUAAAAAGAGAAGAAUACUAGAGGUAGAAAAGAAAAAGAGAAGAAUUCAUCUACAAAAUUUCUUAUAGGUAUGUGGCCUUAUUCUCUUCGAAUGAAAUAUGAAUAGUAUGCAUUUUAUUAUUAUAAUUUUUAUUUACUUUGUCUCAUAGCUAGAAGCUAUGUGAAUCAUAUUUCAUAUAAUUAUAAAUUUUAAUUAUUUAAUAACUAGAAGUUAUAUAGAAAAAUAGGCAUAUAAUCUUUAUAAUAAAAUGUUAUGGGGUAAAUUACAACAUUACAAAAUUACAAAUACACAGCCAAAAGUUAUGCAUAAGAUCCCUAAUUACUUUUUAAUUAUAUUAUAUAAUUGAAAGUUAUAUAAAACAACACUAUGUGACCAAAAGUUAUAUAAUGAAUAGUUCAUAGCCUGAAGUUAUGUACAAAUCCAAAAUUAAAAAUACAUAACAAAAAGGUAUGUAUAUAACUCAUAAUUAUUUGUUUUUAAUUAUAUAGUAUAAUUGGAAGUUAUACAAAAUAAUAUUAUAUAGUCAUAAGUUGUAAAAUGAAUAGUCCAUAACUUGAAGCUAUACACAAAUCUACACGAUAAAUAGUUUAUAGCUUGAAGUUAUGCACAAAUUUACAUAAAAAAUAGUUCAUAGCUUGAAGUUAUGUACAAAUUUAAAUAUUUUCUUGUUCUGACAAAAUAAUCAUAGCUUGAAGGUAUGAAAUAUAUUAACUUUUAAUUUCUUUAAUUUCUUUUAAUUAUAUUGUGUAACCGAAAGUUAUAUAUAAAUAGUUCAUAAGUUGAAGUUAUGCACAAAUUUACAUAAAAAAUAAAAAAUAAAAUAGUUCAUAGCCUAAAGCUAUGUACAAAUUUGCAUAUUUUCUUGUUUUGACAAAAUAAUCAUAACUCAAAGUUAUGAAAAAUAUUGACUUUUAAUUUUUAUUUCGUAUUCACUUAUUUUUCACAAUAGGAAUUAUGGAAAAUAAUUUUUAUUAACAAUUGUUUCAUAGCCAAAAGCUAUGCAUACAAUUUCCAAUUUUCUUGUAUAACCAGAAGUUAUAUAAAACAAAAUUAUCAAUGAACAACUAUGUAUCUAGAAGAUGCAUAAUUUUUUUUAAUUUUAUUAUAGAACCAGAAGUUAUAUAAUAACAUAAUUAUCAAUUAUUUUAUGUUUUUAUAACAUUACUUAAAUUUUAAUUAUUCAUAGCCUAAAGCUAUGAAGAAAAAGUUAAUAAAUUAAUAAUUGUUAAAACUUGUAUAACCAAAAGCUAUAUAUAUAUAUAUAUAUAUUAUAUAACCAAAAGUUAUAUAAAUUAAUAUUAUUAUUCGUAACCCGAAGUUAUGAAAAUAAGAAAAUUAAUAUUCUUUAUACUAAUCAAAGGUUAUGUCAGAGUUGUUAAUAUGUACUUUCUUAUAACUAGAAACCUAUAGAGAACAAAAUUGUUAUGUAACAAUUUUGUAUAACUUUAUGAAACUUAUAUAACCAAAAGUUAUAAUGAAAUAUAUUAUAACUUGAAGCUAUGAUAACAAGCAUAUAGAUAAUAUUUACAUAUUAUCAAAAGAUUAUUAUUUUGUACAUCAAGUUAUACAAAUAGGUAAGUGUUUGAUGGUUUUUAUAAAUUUCUAUUAUUAUAAGUUAUAUUGUCAUUAGUAGAAAAAUCUACAUAUAGAUGUGGAUUUCAGAUUACAUGAAAGUAUGAUAUUUUUGUAUUAGAGGUGAUAAUUCUAAUUGUUUAAAACACAAUAAUCUUUUGAUUUGGAAAAUUGAGAUUUUUUUGAUACAUGUAAAAUACAUGACUUGGUCAUAUAAUUAAUAAAUUGAUUUUGCAUGUCAAUUUUCUUUAUAAUAUGUUUUUAUGAUUGAAAUUUUUUGAGAUAUAUAAAAUAAUAUAUAUUAUUGUCUGUUACCACAUAUGGUUUUUUUAUUAAUGCAACAAUUUCAUUAUCUAAAAAUAAUUUUGAAAUUACAAUACGUUCAACUAUUGUUCUCUAUAUAUUAUGUUAUAUCUUUAUAUAUAUAUGUCUAGAUGUUUGCUUAUGAUAAGGUCUAAUGCAAAAGUCAGGUUUAGACCCUGUAUUAGAAUCACCUGCACUGAUGAUGCUGGUCAUAUUACAGCACCGAACAUCGUGAGCUAUAAAUCUCAGACGCAGCCACCAGCUAUUACAAAAGCUUCAGUCCGCCUGUUACAUCAUCCACCAGAUCAGCAGGUCCUGCACAUUUUUAGGUGCUAGAAUGAAUCAAAGGAACUCAAAGGAGGUUGAUGGAUAAAUUUAUGACAAUUUGAGUUCUCAAAAGUGAAAUUUCCACUAGACUCAUGGGGUUCUAAUGAAGAAAACCAAAAGGGUUGCCUGAUAGGAAGCUACUGGAUAGAAACUAAGCUUGCCAAGAAUCACCAUCACCGUCCUUGGAUCUGAAGAACUGGAAAUAAUGAGAUAGAUUAGAAUUUAAAUUGGAUAAGAAGCAUAAAUUUCAGAAACAACAAGGUAUUCGGAAUAGAAGUGAGCUUUUCUGAAGUGGGAAGAAUUAUGCCUUCGAAAGCUUUCAAGGAAGCAGAUUGCAAAUCCAUAUUGUCAAGGCUUCCUCAUUCCUCAAGAAUCAACCAAAUUCUCAAAACUUGUCCUUUCAAAGUUACAAUCACGAAAUCAAAUUCCUCAUUCCUAUCUCGAGGAUGGUUACUAUUGUGAGGAAGAUAUUAUUUGCUUUGCUAAGAUUCAUGACAAAUCAACAAUUUGAUUACUAUAAAAGCAAUCAGCAUUCAUGAAUUCAUACUACCACAAAUUUUCACCAUUAAUAAUACUGCCCGUGCACUUGAUUUGUUAUUCAUGUUGAUUUCUCGAUUCUAGAAACUUCCUAGCGUCUAAAAAUUGAUUACAAAUGCUUCCUAGGCAACUAUUGUGACAAUCUUAUGAUGCUUCUUAAUAUCAAUCCCUAAUACAUUCUACUUUCUUCAUCAAUUCCCGAGACCCUGUUUCCGGCUUCUGCAUCCCAUGCAGCACUAUUCUGCUAUGUCUGACCCAAAACAGCAAAUGCUAACCAUUUCAAAUCCCAUAUAAGAAAUACGCUAUUAGCUUUCUCCCACCCAACUCGUAAAAAUAUGCCAACUAUGGUUCUUAAGAACAGAAUUGAAGAAUGGUUCCACAGUAGUCCUAAGCUUACACGGUUGAAGGCCAUAUCUACACUCCGAAACAGCUUUAGAACUUCUGAUUACAUGUAUGUUAAAAAAGCUGAUCAUCUACUGAGCCCAUGAUUAACCUACGACUAAGGAAAAAUGUUUUUACAACUCACUUGGUGCAAUCUGUGUUCUUCCUGCAUCAAUGGUCAUAUGGUUCGGCAACUGGGGUGAUUUUGCCCUCCCCUGUUGAAGUUGAGAAGCACUAUAUUACAAAAUACAAAUAAGACUGUAGAUAUGACAUGCAGAUAAACACUAUUAACAAAGCGAAAGGCAAAAGCAAAGGGACAGAAUAUUGGCACGGAGAAAAAACGACGACUGUCAGAAAUUGACAAUGAGAAAUUUCAAAUGAAAAUUAACUCAGCGAAUCAAGUGGGAAAACCAAAAUUUGCAGACUUUUAACUCAUGUUACACCAUACACAAAAAAAAAAAAAAAAAAAAAAACUAGGAGUAGAGAGGUGAUGCUUCAUAUGAAAGGAUAGAAAACAACAACUCCAUGUGUAGAAAAUUGUCGAUUAGCCCACAUUGUAAAAUGUGAGAAGGUUAAAGAAAUGUGUCGAGUGAUGGAGCACAAAAGUUGUUUUAUAGGGGCUUGAUGAAAAGUUUCACGACUGAAUAUAAAACAAACCCAGAAAAAGUUUUGAUUUUUAUUAUUAGCUUAUGCAACACCAUAAGAAAGUCCAGACAAUACUGACUUUUCUUAGUUUCAGUCUUCAAAACCACUUUAACCUGCCCGCAAUUCUCCCACCUGUACAUCAAUAAAACUAGGUCAAAGGAAAUAGAUGGAGAACAAAAAGGCAAAACAAAGGGGAAAAGGUUAAAAAAUAAAAUAAAACUAAAAGGGGGAAGAGUUCCAACCCAACUAAAUUCUUAGCAAUGCUAGAAUGUACCCGACGAAGGAGUUUUUUUUAGAAACCCAAAGUUGCAUGACUGGCGAAAGUAGCAGACAUUUGGACUAUGAAUUAGGACCAGUUACACCACUAUGGGAGUGGAUUAAGACGAUAAUAACCCAGGCCUUAAUAUCUUAAUUAUGCCAUGUCAAUCCCUCAUUAGAGGGACCGACUAUUGCAGUUUCAUUUGCAAAAUGCAGGCCAUCAGACAAUCUGAAUUUUCUUAUGUAGAAUAUAAACCUGACCCUAUAAUAAAUAUAAUUACCAGAAGGUAAAGGAACAAGGAACAAGGAUUCUAUUACCUUUUUUACAUGGAUAAAAAAAUUCAUUAGAUGAGACUUGAACAUACAAUCUCUCCCAUAUCCCCAUGGAGAUGGUGGCUCAGCCUCAGCUCCACUGUCUCCUCCACCAUCACCGCCAUCACCAGCAACCCCACCAGAUCAACGGCCCACUGCCCCCAUCUCUACCCACCCAUGACUCCUCCCUGCCCUCCGAUCAUCAUCUUACUCCCUGCUGCUGAUGGUAGAAAACUGUUUAAAAUUUUUUUAACGUUAUUUUGUUAUUGUUAUCUGAAAACAAUUUUUAAAAAUAAAGAAAAAUAGAGAAAUUUUUUUAGAAAACAAGUAAAAAUUGCUUUCAAUGGUUUUAAAAACAAAAUGAAAAAUGUAGAAAAUUUUUAAAAACUCAUAUAAGAAUAAAUAAAAUUGAACAUGAUAUUAUUUUUAAUUCUAAUACCAUAAAUCUUAAAAUAUAAUUUUAUUUUAAAUGCGUAGGUUAGUUUCUUCUUUCCAUAUAUAUAUAUAUAUCAAAUAGUGAAUUACUUAAUACAAGAAAUUUAUGAACAAAAAUUGGUUUAAAUUUAUUAUUUCUUUUGUUAUAUAGAAUCAUUAUUUUUUUAUUUUCUUUUUUAUUAAGCAAAUAAACUCCAAAUUAAAUAAGACUUAAUGUAUUGGAUUCAUUAACGAGUCUAACAAAUUUUUUUAUGGUUUAAAAAACCGAACUGGACCUGCCGGUCAUGGUUUUGGUUCAAUCCGGUCAAUUGAGUUGUCUAAGGGUUGAAUCGGCAUUAGACUGGGUGAACCGACGAUUGGACUAGCCAACUAGUCGGUUCCCUCCAAACCGAACGGUUCAACCCAAUUUUAUUUUUUUUCUCUCCCUCAUCAAAAUAACGUUGUUUUCAUGUUUCUGGCAUCGAAAUGACCUCGUUUUAAUUACUAUAAAAGCUUCCCUUUUCUUCCCCCAAUUGCAAAGCCAAACCUACCCGUCGCCCCUCCCCACAGCCUAAGCUGCCAGCUCCCCAGCCAGUCGCUGCCGGUGCUAGUUCUGCUAGACUCUCUUGCUGCUGCCGACAGAACCUUUUGGUGGCUGUGACAGUGAGUUUUUAGUGUUUACAUUUAAGUUUUUAUUAGUUUAAGUUUUAAUAGUUUAAGUUUUUAUUAGUUUAAGUUUUUAUUAGUUUAAGUAUUUUUUUUUAAUUUAAUAUUUAAUAUUUUUACAUUUUAUGUUUUUAAUAUUUAAUGUUUUAAUUUUUGUUGAUGUAUAAUUUCUGUUGAUUAAAAUUUGUUACCCUCAUUUAUUUAUUGCAUAUUGAAAUAUCAAUUUAUUGAAAUUUUUUUUAUUUAUUUGUUAGAUUUUAUAUAUUUUUUCACAUUAUGUUCAUUUUAUUUAUUUUAAUUUUAUAUUGAUUUUUUAAAUAUUUUAUUUGAGUUUAAAUAAAUUAAUGAAAUCAUUGAAAACAUUAGGAAUUAAAAUAAAAUUUUGGAAACAUUAAGAAUUCAAAUAAUUGUAUGAUUUUCAAAUAAUUUGCUGAUUUUCAAAUAAAAUUCUAUUUUUAAAUUUUUUUACUUUUAAUAAUAUAUAAAAUAUUUUUUUUUUAUGUCACCGAUUUGACUAUCAAUCCAACCAGUAAACCAUGAACCAAUAACAUUUCCUGUUUAAUGAUCGAUUCGGUUUUGAAAAUAUUAAUUUUUUUUAAAAAAAAGAUAACUUAAAACUUAAAUAAUAAUCCAAUCAAUAUUAGAAAUUUAUGGACAAAAAUUUGUUUAAAAUGACUAUUAUUUUUCUUUUAUAUAAAAUCAUCAUUUUUUUUAUAUUUUUUUAACCAAACAAAUAAGCUCUAAAUUAAACAAAACAUAAUAUGUUGGAUUUAAUAACAACUUUAGUAAUUUUUAAAAGUAAUUUGAAACUCAAAUAAUAAACUCACUAAUAGUAGAAAUUUAUGAAUAAAAAUUGAUUCAUAAUGAUUUUGUUAUUUUUUUCAUCCACAUAAUUAUAUUUUUAUAAAUUUUCUUAAAAUCAAAUAAUACUUUGUAUUUAAUUUAUUAAUGGAUUUAACAAUUUUUAAAAAUAUUUUGAAACUAAAAAAAUAAAUCUAAUCAUUAAAAAAAAGAAGAAGAUCAAAACUGAUAUAUUAUAAAUCAUGACUUUACAAUUUCUCCAAUACACACAAAUAUCUGUAUAUAUAUAUAUAUAUAUAUAUAUAUAUAUUAAAUUUAGGUAAUUAAAUCAUAAAUUAAAUAGGACAUAAUCAAUAAUUUAAAAAUUUUAAUGAUUUUUAUUUUUAUUUUUAAGAAUAAUUUUGAAUUCAUAAAAACUGAUCUAACUAAUUACAUAUUAAUUAAAAAAAUUCUAGAAUAUUAUUUAAAUAAAAUAAAUUUUUUGAUUCAUUUACAUGUUAAAAAAGUUAAACUUUAUCAAAGAAAAAACAAGAAAAAAUUGUGGUAGUUGGAGGGUUAGAGGUAGUUUUGAGCACAUAUUUCUUGGUUUAUUUUUUCCAAAAUGUAUGUACUUUAAAGGUCAAAAUUCAAACUUAAAAAAAAAAAAAUAGCAUGACUUCAUAGCUAAUUUGUUUUCUUUUUCUCUUUCCUUUUCAUUUUCUCAUGUUUAUACACAAUUGGUCAAUAUUUAAUUUUCUUUUUGGGAAAAUGGAUGAUUUUAUGAGAAUUUGUGUUAGGAGUUUAUCAGAAAAGUAAUUUUUUUUUUAAAAAUAUUUUACAUCUAGAUUGUUUUUCAAAAUAUUUAUCAAAAUAAUCUUUUAAUUUUAUUUUAUUAUUUUCUUUUAUAAUAAAACCGCAAUUGAUCAAUACGGUUUCAAUCUUAGCGCUAAAAUCACAGUCAUUAGCUAUGGUUUUAUCAUGAAAAAAAAAGAAAGAUGUAAAUGCUAAUAUGACAUGAACUUAAUUACUUUGAUGGAAAAUUUAAAAAUAAAUCAAUAUAUAUAUAUUUAAAAAAAAAAAAAAAAAGCUUAGUAGAAUGAGUAGGAUGUUGGAUACAAAUAGAAGAAAAAGAGUGAAAGAAAAGGUGGGAUUGAAACCGAUGUUUGAUGAUUUUAUAUGGUCUACUUUUGGACUUUCCAACUUUUUGAACCUUUUAUGAUUGAAAAUUGAAAUCGAAACAUCAAAGUGUCCUUUUGAACCUACUUUAUAUCGUACUAUUGUUGGCAACUUAGUACAUCUCACCGUUACACAUUUGAACAUUACUUAUGUUGUUCAUAAUGUUAGUUAAUUUGUUGCUUCUACUACAGUUCAUUGUGUUGUUGUCUUUGUGCUUUGUAGUAUCUUCAAGACAUUAUAUUUCAUAGUCUUUUAUUUUCAUCUACUUUUUUAAGAGUUGCAUGUUCUGAUGUUGAUUGAACUAGUGAUCUCAAAUAUCACAAGUCUACCACUAGAUUUUAUACAUUUUUUUUUAAGGAUUCCCUUAUUUCUUGGAAGAACAAAAACAGAUUAUCAUUUCUCGAUCUUCCAUAGAAGCCGAGUAUCAUAUUAUAGCAUUUACCACCAAUAAUAUAGUUUUGUUAUAUUGGUUACUUGUUUAUAUGAGUGUUUCUCUUUCUUGUCCUACUCCAAUGUAUUGUAACUACAAGAGUAUUAUUCAAAUUGCUCAAACUUGAAAGGUGCACAAUUUUAGCAUAUAAAAAUUUUAAUUUUUAAUAAAUUAAGAUAAAUUAAUAUAAAUGAUUAAAUACAACUUUUUAUGGAAAAUAUAUUUUACUUUAUUUUUAUUUUAUAUAAAUUAAAAAUUAAAAAUUUUAAUAAAGUAAAAUGUUAGAACAACAAUCAAGUUUUUAUCUUAUACAAUUAGAAAUAUUAAAUAAUUUAACCAAAAAGAAACUUAAAACUAUGAUCAAUUUAGAUCCAUGAGCAAAAAACUAAAACUAUUGUCAUCGUCUCUAUUUUGCAUAUAAAAGUUUAAAAUUUUUAAAAAUAUAAAUAAUAAAAUAAUAUAACAAUGUAAUAAAAUUUAUAAAAUAAAUAAAUAUUUUAUUUAGCAAAAUAUAGAAAAUCUUAUGUUGUAAACUUUUAGAUUUGUUUGUUAUGUAUUUAUUUUUAUAUUAAAUUUGUUCUCAUUAAUUAUUUAUUAUAUAUUAUUAUUUUGUCUUAAAAAUAUUCAUAAAUAAUUAAAAUCAAUAAAUAUAGAAAAAUGAAAAAGUGAAAAAAAAAAUCAAAAUUAAAAAGAUUUUAUAAAAUCUACACAUUAAAAAAAAACAAAAAGGUGGAGGUAUUAAUGAAGGAAUAAAAAAAUAAAAAAGGAAAAAUCAUAUCACAUGAUUGAUUAUCACAUGCCAAUGUUUUUUAAAAUAAAAUAAAAAUAAGAGACAACUCUUUGAGUUGUCAUGUGUGAAUGAGAAAAGGAAAACAUUUCGGUAGUUGUUGGCAUUAGUGGAGCUUUAGAUGGUAAUUUUGAGUGCAUAUUUAUAGGAUUAUUUCUUUCCAAACAUAUGUACAUUAAAAGUCAAAAUUUAAACUUCAAGAAAAAAAAAAUUAGGUGGUGCAUGAUUAUCUAAUCCCACCGCAUAAUUUCACAGCUAGUUUCCUUUUUUUUUUUUUUCUCUUUCCUUUUCUGUUUUUUCAUGUUUAUAUACUAUUACAUUAGGAGAAGCUUUGAUGCUAAUAUCAUUAAUCAACAACAUAAAGAUAAAAAAAUCAACACAAACGGUACAUGAGGUUUUAAUGUGGUUCGAUAAUCAUGUAUUCGUCCACGGAUGAGAGAUAAUCAUUCCAAUAUACAAUAUAGAAUAUUACAAAUGAUAGAACUAGAACAUUAUAAAGGAUAAAACCAGAACAUUACAAAUAAUAGAAUCAAAUACAAUUAUUGGGUUUUUGAAACAUCUCAUGUUUCCUUACUCUUUAUAUCCCUACCCUAUCAUGACCCCUCUCGUUUCACCGGGUACCUCUCGUUCUUCCUCGCAUCUCUAUCAACCUUAUAUAGUCUUUAUAGGCUCAUCUCUAUCUCAUAACUUAAAAUAUUUAUAGAGAUAUUUCUUUUUUAAGAAAAUGAUGAUUUUGUGAGAAUUUGUGUUAGGAGUUUAUCAAAAAAAUAAUCUUAUUUUUUUUAAAAAAAAAAGAAUAUUUCACAUCUAAAUUGUUUUUCAAAAUAUUUAUUAAAAUAAUCUUUUAACUUUAUUUCAUUAUUAUUUUUAUAAUAAAACCAUAAUCGGUAAUAUCGAGGAAAUUAAAGGGGAAGUAUUCAUGAGACGGAUGAGUAGGAUGUCGGAUACAAACGGAAGAAAAAGAGAGAAAGAAAGGUGGGAUUGAAAUCGAUGUUAGGAUGAUUUUAUAUGGUCUACUUUUGGGCUUUCCAACUUUAUGAUUGAAUAUUGAAAUCGGAACAUCAAUGUACCAUUGUUUCCUAUUUUUAUUGCAAUGAUGGCCGCCCCUCUGCCCUCAGGCAUGUUUGUUCCAAUAAAACCUCUGUGUUCGUUGGUGUCAGUUAGGUAUAUAAUUACUAAAGCUUUGGCCCACCUGGCAAAUUCAGUUUGGUAUACAUUUGCAAAAAAAGUUUGAUUUUAUUUGCAAAAUUAAAGUUUUUAGGAUUCAAUUUUAUUAAGAAAAAUGAUUUUUAUAUUUUUAUUAAGUAUUGAAAUCAAUUUUUAUUAAAAGAAAUAGUUCUAGUUUAAUUUAUAUUUUCAAAAGAAUGAUUCCAACUAUUUUAGUUUCAUCAUUGAGGAAAAUGAAUUCAGUUUUAUUAUUAAGAAAAAUAGUUUUAGUUUUAUGUUUUAAGAAAAAUAAUUUUUAUUAUUAUUAUUAUUAUAAAAAAAUUCAUCUCAAUACUCCUUGAAAAAUGUUUGAGGUUACAUUAGAAAAAGAGUUCAAUUAAAAAAAAAACAAAAAAAAAUUGAUUUCAAAUUUUAUUUUAUUUACAAGUUUGAAAAAAUAUAUACAAAAGAUCACUAAUAAAAUCAAACUGCUGUGUAACACAAAUAAACAUACAAUAAUAAUAAUGAAUCAAAGGGCCUACAUAAAUCGAUGUGGCCAAUCCAAAGUAAGAAAACUAGCCAAUAGGGAUGGCAAUGGGGCGGGGCGCCCUCCUCCAAACCCCGCCCCGUUUAUUUAAAGCAAUUCCUAUUCCCGUCCCAUUUAAAAAAUUAAACGGGGCGGGGCGGGCGGAUUUCCGCCCCGUUUAACUUUUUAUUUAAUUUUAAUUUUUUUUUAAAAAUUACUUUUAAAUUUUUUAAUUAUAUUAAAAUAAAUAUAUUUUAUAAAUAAUUAAAUUAUUAUAUUUUUUAUAACUUAUUUUAUUAAAAAUAAUUUAUUAUUAUCUAUAUAUUAAAAAUUAAAUUAAAUUAAAUUUAAAUUUUAAAUUAAAUUUAAUUUUAAUUUUAUUUUUAUAUAUAAUCGGGGCGGGGCGGGAUGAGGCAAUACCCGAACCCGCCCCUGGUUAAAAAAAAAAUCCUAAACCCGUCCUAUACCCGUUUAAGAAAAUAAUAUCCCGCCCCAUUAGGGGCAGGGCGGGGCGGGUACCCGAAAUGACCCGCCCUAUUGCCAUCCCUACUAGCCAAGAUGAAGUUUCAUCGGUUUAAGGUUAUUGAUAUCUUAAUUUAUUACAUUAGAGCUAUGUUAUGAUCGAUGCUUUACUUUAUGACUUUUCAAACAUUAUUGUAUUACAGCUAUGUUAUGAUCGAUGCUUUACUUUAUGACUUUUCAAACGUUAUUGUAUAACCAUAAUAAACUUAUAGAGCAAUAACUUUUAAGGGUGACUAAGCAUAUUCUUUAAAAUUGUUUUUCUUUUUUAUUUUUUUAUUUUAUUUAGAAGUUAAAUACAAAUUUUAAAAUGAAGCAAAAUAUUACAAAUCUGGCCUUAAUUUGAUACCACAAAUUUAUGAGGAAAUCCCAUUUGGUAUGUAGCUUAUCUCCUAUUAGAACCAAAAAGUGGAGACAUGCAUGCACCAUUUCCGUUUGGCGUCAGUUUGGCCUCAAAGCUUAUUUUUCAUCAACACUGUUUUAUUGAAAAUCAAUUCCCUCUCGUGGUCUACCCAAUAUUUUAUUUCAUAAUGCUUUGUUGCUGCUGUCGAGAAAAUUUCUACCCAGACGGAACUAAAGGCAUAUAGACCCGAACCCAUGUCGCCACACCAACGCUAUUUAUAUGAAGCUAGCUCAGCCAAGCAUUGCAUAUCAAUCUCAUUAAAGCUCAGUCAUUGUAAUGUUUAUUUAUUUAUUUGUUUGUCUGUUUUCUUGUUGUAUAUUUCAUGGAAGCAGCUUCAUCGGGUUCAUAUGUUCCAUCUUUGCAGGGAAAUCCGUAAUGACAAAACCACCGCAGAAGAGGCAGAAGAAACGGCCAUGGACCCCAGAAGAAGACAAUAAGCUCAAACACUUUAAGACAGAAUACCCUAAUCUACCUUGGGGAGAGAUCAUAGAGCUGGCGAAGCUAGAAAGGGAUGUAAAGAGCUGUUCGGAAAGGUGGAAUAACCAUCUGAAGUCUGAUUUCAACAAAGAGAAAUUCUCCCCACAGGAAGAUGAACGCAUCAUCUAUCUAAGGCGCCAUGAUGUGGGGUAAUGAGAAUCAUCCUCAUAUUUUUCCAUGUAAUAUGAUAGUGUGGUGAUCAGCUUGAGUCUAAGGUAGGAGUUCCUGUGUUGUGUUGCUUGCAGCUGGGCAUCUAUGGUAACAUUUUUUCCUGGGCGAUCUUAUAAUGAUGUGAAGAACCGAGGUUACCAGUUGAAGAAGAGGCAUGCGCCUAUAAGUGACUCUGUCCAGGAUGACCUUGAGGCUUUGAUGGCCGAGUUAGCUUCUUUGAUUCCCAACGUUGAUCCAAAUGCAAUUAGUUCGGAUGAUCAGACUAGUGAUCACUCUAUCCGGGGAGAUGACCUUGAGGCUU
rnacentral:lncRNA from 1 species